UAGUUAGCCAGCUAUGUUAAAGAAGCUUCUAGCUUUAAGAAAGCUUCCAGACAAAAUAUUGACGCUAAUUCCAGGUACUUUAUCAGUAAAACUUAACAUUGCUUAUCAGGUAACGUAUCACAGGAAUUAAAUAUAAAAUCAUUACAAAUGCUUUUUAAUCUUUGUGUUCGGGGUUUGUUUACGUUUCAAGCUAAUAUUAAUACCGAUCCAUAUCGGCGCGACAUCAAAGGCCUAAGACCAUCAGAAUGUAUUCUCCGCUUGCAUAAACCAGAUGAUUAACAACAUGGAAUACUAUGCUGAUAAAUAAGUUAGUGGAUUUAAAGCGAUUUCCUGUUGGUAAAAUCCUUUGGUGGGCAACAUGUUUAAAUAAGAAAAUGUCUAAGGACAGAAGCAGAUGUUUUAUUCUGGAUAUUGCAACAUUGCACUACUGGACCCUGCAGAGUGAUGUUGUCCCUUUGUGUUCCUUAAGGUGAUUUUAAAGCCGGAGCUCAAGUAUCUGGUAACUAUUUUACCGCGUAGUGACGGACAGUGCGCAAGUUUGAAUAUUUAAUUGCUGUAUUUUGAACAAUAAAUUUUGUUUUGUUUACUGAAAAAUGUCGAAAGUUUAGGUAUAUAAUUGUUAAAAAUGAAAUACAAAGACUUUGUUUUGGCACAA